rnacentral:rRNA from 1 species
GACGAACGCUGGCGGCGUGCUUAACACAUGCAAGUCGAACGGAAAGGCCCUGCUUGCAGGGUACUCGAGUGGCGAACGGGUGAGUAACACGUGGGUGAACUGCCCUGCACUUCGGGAUAAGCCUGGGCAACUGGGUCUAAUACCGGCUAGGAGCCAUUUUUAGCGUGAUGGUUGGAAAGUUUUUUAGGUGUUGGAUGAGAUCGCGGCCUAACUGCUUGUUGGUGGGGUUAUGUCCUACCAAGGCGGCGUCGGGUAGCCGGCCUGUGAGGGUGGACGGCCACAUUGGGACUGAGAUGCGGCCCAGACACCUACGGGAGGCAGCAGUGGGGAAGAUUGCACGAUGGGCGCAAGCCUGAUGCAGCGACGCCGCGGGGGGGAAGACUGCCUUCGGGUUGUAAACUCCUUUCGCUAGGGACGAAGCUUUUUGUGACGGUACCUAGAUAAGAAGCACCGGCUAACUACGUG